UACGGGGGGGGCAAGCGUUGUUCGGAAUUACUGGGCGUAAAGGGCGCGUAGGCGGCUCGCUAAGUUGGAUGUGAAAACUCUGGGCUUAACCCAGAGCCUGCAUUCAAAACUGACGAGCUAGAGUUCUGGAGGGGAUAGCGGAAUUCCUGGUGUAGCGGUGAAAUGCGUAGAUAUCAGGAGGAACACCGGUGGCGAAGGCGGGAUCCUGGGCCAGUACUGACGCUGAGGAGCGAAAGCGUGGGGAGCAAACAGGAUUAAGAU
rnacentral:rRNA from 1 species